rnacentral:rRNA from 1 species
GACGAACGCUGGCGGCGUGCUUAACACAUGCAAGUCGAACGGAAAGGCCCUGCUUGCAGGGUGCUCGAGUGGCGAACGGGUGAGUAACACGUGGGUGAUCUGCCCCUUACUUUGGGAUAAGCCUGGGAAACUGGGUCUAAUACUGGAUAGGACCAUGCUGUAGGUGGUGUGGUGGAAAGAUUAGUUUCGGUAAGGGAUGAGCUCGCGGCCUAUCAGCUUGUUGGUGGGGUAAUGGCCUACCAAGGCGUCGACGGGUAGCCGGCCUGAGAGGGUGGACGGCCACAUUGGGACUGAGAUACGGCUCAGACUCCUACGGGAGGCAGCAGUGGGGAAUAUUGCACAAUGGGCGCAAGCCUGAUGCAGCGACGCCGCGUGGGGGAUGACGGCCUUCGGGUUGUAAACUCCUUUCAGCCAUGACGAAGCCCUUGUGGUGACGGUAGUGGUAGAAGAAGCACCGGCUAACUACGUGCCAGCAGCCGCGGUAAUACGUAGGGUGCGAGCGUUGUCCGGAAUUACUGGGCGUAAAGAGCUCGUAGGUGGUCUGUCGCGUCAUUUGUGAAGGCCCGGGGCUUAACUCCGGGUUGGCAGGUGAUACGGGCAUGACUGGAGUACUGUAGGGGAGACUGGAAUUCCUGGUGUAGCGGUGAAAUGCGCAGAUAUCAGGAGGAACACCGGUGGCGAAGGCGGGUCUCUGGGCAGUAACUGACGCUGAGGAGCGAAAGCAUGGGUAGCGAACAGG